rnacentral:lncRNA from 1 species
UUUUUCUCUCUGUUAACUUGGAAAGGGGAGAAUUUUUCUGUACCCACCCUAAAGCAAUCAAACAAAAAAGAUUUUGGAGAAAAGAGAAGGGGAAGAAGAAUGAACAACUGAGAGUUUUUCAGUACUGCUGUGUGCCCUGUGUGAGCUCACUACCAUCUCUAGGAAUUGCAGCAAUGAUAUCCUUAAGGCAUGAAAGUUUAUCCUUUCACCAGAGACUACAAUUAAUAUUUCAAGGCUGAAUUAGAUCUGCUCACCUAAAAUGGAACAGAAGGCCCCAAGGAAAACAUUGUCAGGAGAAGGGUAUGUCAAUUUAUGACAUUCCUGAUUUUUGGGACAACACCAAUUUCACAUAUUAUCCUCUAUUAUGAGUAUAUGUGUCCUAAUCAUUUGAAAAACA